rnacentral:tRNA from 1 species
GCGGCCGUAGUCUAGUCUGGUAGGACAUCUGCAGAGACCUAAAGCCGGCCUGCCAAGCCGGCGGUCCCGGGUUCAAAUCCCGGCGGCCGCA